rnacentral:lncRNA from 1 species
ACAUAUAUAGAAACUUAAAGGUAAAUGAUUUCGUACCUUAAUAAAAGUCUUUACCUUGGAAAUAUUUAAACAACUCUUUGAACUUAAAACAUAUUUAGUCUGACAAGCCUCUGCUAUUGAUUAGAGAGUCACUAGGACAGGCUUAGCUGACCCGAAUAUAAAUAGAAAUCACAUAACUAAAACACUUUCAACAACGAACAGAUGAUUAAGAACUGGAUCCUCGGACUAUGAGGACUCACCAAAAGUCGAGAUAUAGGUGAUGAUACUCAUAGUCAAUCGUGCUGUUGGAAAUGAGCACCAAAACCUACAUUAUG